UGGAAAAACUCGGAUUUUCUGAGUAAAAUUUUUGUUGAAGGAAAUCGGAAAAAAAAUAACUUUGUGCAGAACUAAAUUACGGUGAAUUUUUAUUUGAGUGUUUUUGGCUCAAAGGAAAAAUUAUAGGAGUUACAGACCACUAAUUGAAAAAAAAAAAAAGAAGAUUUAGGAGUGCUAAUUUGUUUAUAAAUAAAAUAACACACUUUCUGCGGACUUGUCAUACCCCUUAUUACUAAUAUAUGCAAUCUUAAGAUUCGAUUUUAGCAAUAAAAUAGCUGGUAAAUAAUUUUUCCCAAAAAUGGUAUUUUUUCGAUAAUUUUCCCAGACCAUCAACAAAAUCCAGGGAGAGAUUAAAUGUCCAGCAAACGAUGGCACUGUUGCCAGAUUUACCUUUUUCCUUUUAGCGGGAAUUUUAAAAUUAGUCUAAUGCCACUUUGGUUUUAAAAGAGAGUUUUGUAUAGGCCGUUCCAAGAUGCUGUCAAAAUUAAAUCAAUAUGGCUACUGGAAGGCAAACAUUGAAUAUUAUUCUAUCAGGUUCUUAUGGUUUUAGAUCAUUUUAGUUGUUGUACAAAGAUUAAUUUAACAUUUUCUCUGGAAGUAUUAAUUUAGAAAGAUAAUAUGCCUCAUUGGUGUUGUGUUUUGAAGUGUGAAAUGCAAAGUAAUCGUGAUAAAGUUAGCUUUUACCACUUACCAUCAGUGCUACAUUCUAAGCACAAAACUGAACCAAUUUAACUAAAUAAGUUAUAGUUAUCAUCUGAGAGACAACAACAAUGGUAAAAUGCAAUAAAAUAUAAAGAUUUUACUAGCAAAAUGGAAAUUCCCCUGUAAUCAUCUUAUAUCUGGUAAGUUACAACAUUUGAACAUUAACGAUUUUUGAAGAUGUUAACAGUCUAAUCUUGUAGGAAAACCAGCCGACUUAACUGAUAAUAACAAUCCAGAUUGGGUUCCUUCAAUAAAUAUGGGGUAUAUAAACACAAUGAAAUGAGUUCCCCAAAAUCUAAAAUGGGAAUUAAGGUACCAAAGGAGAAUUAAAAGAAAAGGGUACCUACAAGAAAAAAUUGCUUUUUUAUUCCUCUUGAAAUGAUUUAUAAGACACUGGACUGUCUUAUAUUCUACAAAUACUAGAAUCAGCUGAGAGAAGUGAUCUACAAAAACCCAGGAAGGAAACGGAAUAUGUGGCUACGAAAGGCAAAAGAAAGGUUUACAAAGCAAAUGUGACACAUUUUUUUGAAAUAUUUAGGAAUAUCAGUAAAUUGCAUUAAAAAAAUGUAUGAAAAGAUUUUGUUCAAUAAAAAUGUUUAUAUUUA